rnacentral:rRNA from 1 species
AGGACGAACGCUGGCGGCGUGCUUAACACAUGCAAGUCGAACGGGGAUUAGUUGAUUGAGAGCUUCGGCAGGAAAUUGAUAAUUCGAGUGGCGGACGGGUGAGUAACGCGUGAGCAACCUGUCCCAGACAGGGGGAUAACACUUGGAAACAGGUGCUAAUACCGCAUAAGACCACGGGAUCACAUGGGUUCUGGGGUAAAAGGAGCAAUCCGGUUUGGGGUGGGCUCGCGUCCGAUUAGCCAGUUGGCGGGGUAACGGCCCACCAAAGCGACGAUCGGUAGCCGACCUGAGAGGGUGAACGGCCACAUUGGAACUGAGAGACGGUCCAAACUCCUACGGGAGGCAGCAGUGGGGAAUAUUGGGCAAUGGGCGAAAGCCCCUGACCCAGCAACGCCGCGUGAGUGAAGAAGGCCUUCGGGUUGUAAAGCUCUGUUAUAGUUGACGAAGGAAGUGACGGUAGGCUAUAAGGAAGCCCCGGCUAACUACGUGCCAGCCGCCGC